AUUCUGGUUGAUCCUGCCAGUAGUUAUAUGCUUGUCUCAAAGAUUAAGCCAUGCAUGUCUAAGUACACACGAAUUAAAAGUGAAACCGCAAAAGGCUCAUUAUAUCAGUUAUGGUUCCUUAGAUCGUUAACAGUUACUUGGAUAACUGUGGUAAUUCUAGAGCUAAUACAUGCAAUUAAAACACGGACCUUCUGGGACGUGUGCUUUUAUUAGACUAAAACCAAGCGAUCAAUUGAUCGUUAUAUUGGUUGAACUCUAGAUAACAUGCAGAUCGUAUGGUCUUGUACCGACGACAGAUCUUUCAAAUGUCUGCCCUAUCAACUUUUGAUGGUAGUAUCUAGGACUACCAUGGUUGCAACGGGUAACGGGGAAUCAGGGUUCGAUUCCGGAGAGGGAGCCUGAGAAACGGCUACCACAUCUAAGGAAGGCAGCAGGCGCGUAAAUUACCCACUCCCAGCUCGGGGAGGUAGUGACGAAAAAUAACAAUACAGGACUCAUAUCCGAGGCCCUGUAAUUGGAAUGAGUACACUUUAAAUCCUUUAACAAGGACCAAUUGGAGGGCAAGUCUGGUGCCAGCAGCCGCGGUAAUUCCAGCUCCAAUAGCGUAUAUUAAAGUUGUUGCGGUUAAAACGUUCGUAGUUGAACUUGUGCUUCAUACGGGUAGUACAACAUACAUUUGUAGUUAG
rnacentral:ncRNA from 1 species